rnacentral:piRNA from 1 species
UCCUCCGAAAAUAGUCUAAAA